ACAGCCUGUUUUCUGGACAGGAACGAAGCAGGCAGAGAAAUAGAGAGAGCGAGAGAGAUGAGACCCACUGAACACCAGAUACACAGAAGGAGGAGAGUAAAACAGGUGUUAAAAACUUGGAAGCACACGUGCACGCGCACAUCAUCAUCAUCAUCAUCAUGACUUCAGAAGGCUGCUGAAAGGAAAGACUGGGGUCUUGGUAACAAUGACAUGAGACAAACAUGAGUGUGUGAGGCGAGUAGUAGCAGCCUACCUGAUGAUGUCACAGCAGACAGCCAACCCAGGGAGGGGAAGAGGAGGAGAAAAGAUGGAGAUGCCAUGACGGUGGGGCUUCACUUUAGUGGAGAGAGAGGGGGGGGGAGAGAGAAGGAUAAUCGUCAUCGAUGACAUAUCCUUGUAAAAUAUUAAGCCAAACUCUACCCAGUGCUCUCUCUCUCACUUUCCCUCCCCAUCUCUCUCUCUCCCCCUUCUCUGCCCUGUUAGCACAAACUGUGACUGCCAUGUAUUUUCAGCUGGCCAAUGUGAAACCUAUCCCCAGACAACACAUAAUUAACCUACAAUAAGCUACUGAGACGCUUCACACUACUGUGCAUAAGAUAUGUCAGACCAUGUGUUUGUGUAGUGUGUGUGUCCUUAAUAUCAGAGGUAUAACUUGCGUGCAUAUGGAAUGGUUCUCUCUCAGGCUAUAUGCAUUGAUUGUACAGACGCAAGAUCUUCAUUUGAGACAGUCUGCUACAGCAGGAAAAUAAUCCUGUAGCAACAGGAAAUGUGAAUUAUGUGGAUUAUAAUUCAUGGAAAUGUAUGGGGUUGAUACAUUUUUCAUUAGGGAAAAUUAAGUCUGACAUUUUAAAGUGGAAAUUACAAACAUUAGAAGCCUUUUUAAACCUUGAAUAUACGACAAGUUGGCAUUUCCUGCUGUUGAGGAAAAUUCUCAGCCAUAAAAGAAUGAUCAUAUUUAGAGCCUUCUGAACAGAACCACUAUUGUUUUCAUUACGUUUCACUGUUCCGACCAGCAUAAUAAAGUUCUGAACCGCUUAGA